UACGCCGAGCACCGAGACGAGUCCUAUGAGGACGAAGUGACUGACACCACGCUUCCAGGAAAAGCCACUAAGCUUCAGCUUAAGAAAAACCGUACCGCAAACCGACACAGGUAGGCAGGGUGAGAAUCCCAAGGCGCUUGAGAGAACUCGGGUGAAGGAACUAGGCAAAAUGGCACCGUAACUUCGGGAGAAGGUGCGCCCUUUGGUGUGGUCACGUGCGUGACUGAGCAUCGAAGGGUCGCAGUAACCUGGCCGCUGCGACUGUUUAUCAAAAACACAGCACUCUGCAAACACGAAAGUGGACGUAUAGGGUGUGACGCCUGCCCGGUGCUGGAAGGUUAAUUGAUGGGGUCAGCCGCAAGGCGAAGCUCUUGAUCGAAGCCCCAGUAAACGGCGGCCGUAACGAUAACGGUCCUAAGGUAGCGAAAUUCCUUGUCGGGUAAGUUCCGACCUGCACGAAUGGCGUAACGACAGCGGCGCUGUCUCCACCCGAGACUCAGUGAAAUUGAAAUCGCUGUGAAGAUGCAGCGUUCCCGCGGCAAGACGGAAAGACCCCGUGAACCUUUACUAUAGCUUUACACUGAACGUUGAGUUCUUCUGUGUAGGAUAGGUGGGAGGCUAUGAAACCAGGACGCUAGUUCUGGUGGAGCCAUCCUUGAAAUACCACCCUGAAGUGCUUGACGUUCUAACCUAGGCCCGUAAUCCGGGUCAGGGACCGUGUAUGGUGGGUAGUUUGACUGGGGCGGUCUCCUCCCAAAGAGUAACGGAGGAGCACGAAGGUACGCUCAGCGCGGUCGGACAUCGCGCACUGUGUGCAAAGGCAUAAGCGUGCUUGACUGCGAGAUCGACGGAUCAAGCAGGUACGAAAGUAGGUCUUAGUGAUCCGGUGGUUCUGUAUGGAAGGGCCAUCGCUCAACGGAUAAAAGGUACUCCGGGGAUAACAGGCUGAUACCGCCCAAGAGUUCAUAUCGACGGCGGUGUUUGGCACCUCGAUGUCGGCUCAUCACAUCCUGGGGCUGUAGCCGGUCCCAAGGGUAUGGCUGUUCGCCAUUUAAAGUGGUACGCGAGCUGGGUUCAGAACGUCGUGAGACAGUUCGGUCCCUAUCUGUCGUGGGCGUUGGAGAUUUGAGGGGGGCUGCUCCUAGUACGAGAGGACCGGAGUGGACGUUCCGCUGGUGUUCGGGUUGUCAUGCCCAUGGCAUUGCCCGGUAGCUACGAACGGAAGUGAUAACCGCUGAAAGCAUCUAAGCGGGAAGCACGCCCCAAGAUGAGAUCUCCCGAGAGCUUGACUCUCCUAAAGGCACCAUCAAGACUAGGUGGUUGAUAGGUCAGGUGUGGAAGCGCAGCAAUGCGUUGAGCUAACUGAUACUAAUGAGCCGUGAGGCUUGACC
rnacentral:rRNA from 1 species